UUUCGCAAUGCCCGAAAGGGUGACGAAGCGACGCCGCGUGAGUGAGGAAGGCCUUCGGGUUGUAAAGCUCUGUCAGGAGUUAAGAAAUAUAAGUGUGCUAAUACCACAUUUAUUUGACAAAAGCUCCAAAGGAAGCCACGGCUAACUCUGUGCCAGCAGCCGCGGUAAUACAGAGGUGGCGAGCGUUGUUCGGAAUUAUUGGGCGUAAAGAGCACGUAGGUGGGUUUGUAAGUCAGAUGUGAAAGCCUUCUGUUCAACGGAAGAAUUGCAUCUGAAACUGCGAGUCUUGAGUGUAGGAGGGGAGAAUGGAACUUCUGGUGGGGCGGUGAAAUGCGUAGAUAUCAGAAGGAACGCCGGCGGCGAAAGCGAUUCUCUGGCCUAUUACUGACACUCAGUGUGCGAAAGCUAGGGGAGCAAACGGGAUUAGAUACCCCGGUAGUCCUAGCUGUAAACGAUGGGCACUAAGUAGAGGGGUUUUA
rnacentral:rRNA from 1 species